rnacentral:rRNA from 1 species
AACGAACGCUGGCGGCGUGCCUAACACAUGCAAGUCGAACGAGAAAGGGGCUUCGGCCCUGAGUAAAGUGGCGCACGGGUGAGUAACACGUGGGUAACCUGCCUCUGAGAUUGGGAUAAC